GCCAUAUAGCAUUGUAACACCAGUUCUCGUACCAUCACCGAAGUUAAGCAGCGUCGGGCCUGGUCAAUACCUAGAUGGGUGACCGCUUGGGAAAACCAGGUGUUGUAAG